AACGAACGCUUGCGGCAGGCUUAACACAUGCAAGUCGAACGCCCCGCAAGGGGAGUGGCAGACGGGUGAGUAACGCGUGGGAACGUGCCCUUCGCUUCGGAAUAGCCCCGGGAAACUGGGAGUAAUACCGGAUACGCCGUAUUGGGAAAGAUUUAUCGGCGAAGGAUCGGCCCGCGUUGGAUUAGCUAGUUGGAGGUGUAAUGGACCCCCAAGGCUACGAUCCAUAGCUGGUCUGAGAGGAUGAUCAGCCACACUGGGACUGAGACACGGCCCAGACUCCUACGGGAGGCAGCAGUGGGGAAUCUUGGACAAUGGGCGCAAGCCUGAUCCAGCCAUGCCGCGUGAGUGAAGAAGGCCCUCGGGUCGUAAACUUCUUUUAUAAGUGAGGAAUAUGACGGUAACUUAUGAAUAAGGGUCGGCUAACUACGUGCCAGCAGCCGCGGUAACAC
rnacentral:rRNA from 1 species